rnacentral:piRNA from 1 species
AAGUCUUCGAGAGCUGGAAUUGGCUGA